rnacentral:rRNA from 1 species
GACGAACGCUGGCGGCGUGCUUAACACAUGCAAGUCGAACGGUGAAGGGACCAGCUUGCUGGUUCUGGAUGAGUGGCGAACGGGUGAGUAACACGUGAGUAACCUGCCCCCUUCUUCUGGAUAACCGCAUGAAAGUGUGGCUAAUACGGGAUAUUCUGGGUCUGUCGCAUGGCGGGCCCGGGAAAGAUAUUGCUUCGGUGGGGGAUGGGCUCGCGGCCUAUCAGCUUGUUGGUGGGGUGAUGGCCUACCAAGGCGGUGACGGGUAGCCGGCCUGAGGGGGUGGACGGUCACACUGGGACUGAGACACGGCCCAGACUCCUACGGGAGGCAGCAGUGGGGAAUAUUGCACAAUGGGCGCAAGCCUGAUGCAGCGACGCCGCGUGAGGGAUGGAGGCCUUCGGGUUGUAAACCUCUUUCGCCAGUGAAGCAGGCCUGCUCCUUGUGGGUGGGUUGACGGUAGCUGGAUAAGAAGCGCCGGCUAACUACGUG